AUGGCACUGCCAUCCUGAAUGGGGAUCCCUUGGCAGCCUGGCCAUCUCCCAGGUUUGUAUGGCACUGCCAUCCUGGGUGAGUUUCCUUGGCAGCCUGGCUGUUUCCCAGGUUUGUAUGGCACUGCCAUCCAGGGUGGGAUCCCUUGGCAGCCUGGCCAUUUCCCAGGUUUGUAUGGCACUGCCAUCCAGGUUGGGAUCCCUUGGCAGCCUGGCCAUCUCCCAGGUUUGUAUGGCACUGCCAUCCAGGGUGGGAUCCCUUGGCAGCCUGGCCAUUUCCCAGGUUUGUAUGGCACUGCUAUCCCCCAGCCCUGCUCCCCACACACACUGCAGGCAGUUUGGGAGCUGAAGGGAAGUGCACCCUUUGCACUCAGCCAGAGCAUUUCCCUCUUACAGGCACCAGAGAUCCAACUCUUGCUCUUUCACCCUUUUAUUUUCUUGGAUUUUCUUCCUGCCUCUAAAUAUUUUUAUCCUUCCAGUGGCUGUUGCAGUGUAAUCCAUCUCCUCUCUAAAAUGCACUGGUUUGAACACCCAGACAGUAACCAGAGAGACAGACAUUUUCACACUUCACUUGACUUCUCUUUUCCCAGUUUGGUUGGUUUGUUUUUCCCCUCACAUGACCCAUUUUGCAAUGUAUUUCUUUUGUCACCUGCCCCCAGUAUGUAUCUUACACUUAAUUUCCUCUGUAGCACUCCCAGCUGUUUUAAACUGCCCUUGUGGUGUCUUCCAGCUGUAACAAUUUUGUGCAGCCUGCCUGUGUAUUCCUAGCAAAUGAACACCUAUUUUCCUUCUCUUGAUUCUUUUCCUUACAGAUACCAUGUACUUUCUCUGCCCACUUUUAGUAGAUUUAAAUUUUUAUUUAUUCUGUACACAUCAUAGAAGUCUUCACCUCCCAGUUUGUGUCCCUUCACGUUCCACCUUCACUGCUUUUCCCAAACAGUCUGCUUUCCAGUCUGCUCUUCUCAAAACAAACAAAAACGUCCAGAUCUUGUAUUUCCUGUGUGGUUUUUAAUGAUUCCUUCUCUGACAGCUCCUGUGUGCUGCCCCUCUCCUGUUUCACAUUUAAUGGCCACCGGUUCAAUACAGAGAAGUGCUUGGUUUGUGAGCUCUCAGGUUCCCCCCCGAUGGAGCCACCACUCCAUCUGUUCACUCUGAACUGCUGUUCAGUUCUCUGGCACAAAGGAAGAGCUGAGGGGUUGGGCUUGAUGUGACCUUGGAGAGGACACAGCCUGAAGUGGGAGGUGUGGUUGGUGCAGCAGUGGCCACCGAGGGACGUGGCAGCUUGGGGUAGGUGGGGACUGCUUGGAGAUUUGCCUCAAGAAAACAACAGUUCUGCCCUUGGAGAAGGAGCAGUGUUAAUGGCCAAGGAAAAGGAGCUGCUGUAGGUUGCUGGGUGCUGUGUAGAGAGACAAUAUAAAGAUGGGCAAGGGAAGGUGGAGCAGCUUUCCUGGUUCCAAGGGGAGCUGAAAGGCAGAGGGUGCUGUUCCUCUGCACAGCCUGGUGGAGCAGAGGUUCCUGUAGCUCAGAGCUUUGCAGUCUGCACUGAGGGUAGGGUUUCCUGUUCUCUGGUCUGCUUGUUGUACGUGUGAAGGAGGCACAUUUCACCACGUUUGGAAUCCCAGGCUGCUGGAAAGGCCAAACUGAAGGCCUUGUGCCUGGAUGGUUCAUCUCUUUGAGGUUCCUUAGUCCAGUCUUUGGUCCCACACCCGAAGGUGUCCUUAGCUCUUGGGGCAGUGUCAGUUCUGCUCAGGAUUGGGCUCCUCAGUGCUCUGGGUGGUGGUUUCGUGGUACCUGAGGCUGGAGGGAAACCUGAGGUGGAGCAGCCAAGUCCCUGUUCCCUUUGGGUGGGAGUGGGAACUGUGCUGGGCUGUUGUUUCCAGUUGAUAUGUUUUCUUUCUUAAUAACCCAGAAACAUGGGAAUAAGCCUAUUUUCCCCUCAGCUCCUCCAAGCUCAGCCAUGAGAGCUGCUGGAGCAGAGGCUCCUGUGAACAGUGGCUGCUCCCAGUUCUUGGGUGGGAUAACAGUGCUGCAGCCAGAGGUGGGACCCACAGCUCCUCCUGUAAUUCUGUUCCUUCCUUUAGGGAGCUGUUUCUAAUAGAAUUCCUCAGUUUCCUUUGUCUCACUGUUCAGUUGUUACUCCUUGUCCUUUCAUUGGGCUGUGUCAAACUGCACAGUAAGCAGGACUGUUGUGUGUUUUUACAAGGUAUUUUUUCCUGCUACAUUUGUAUUUUAAUUUUUCCUUUUAUUUUCUCUUUGUGGUCUAAUUAUUGGCAGGGUAUUAUUUCUUGAUGUAUUCACAGUCUUCCUUUAACCAGUCUGAGCAAUGCAUAUUCAUUUUGCAACACUUUUGCUGCUGCUUCCUUGAUUCAGCUUUGCAGUUAUUUAAGUACCUGAACUCUGUGCUUUUACAAAAAGUGGAUUUUAGUUCUGUUCUCACUCAUUUCUGAAGUAUUUUUUCCCCACAUGUACGUUUUGAAACCCAGAAGGCUCAAACUCUCCUGUUGUCUGGGUUCAGUGACAGUACAAUUCCUCUUGGUCAGCAGUCUUUGUUAUUUUUUAGUUCCAUACCCUUCUCAUAGUAAGAAAUUAUUUAGAAUUUAUCUCCUUCUUUCUGUUGUUUUAUUUUUUUAUGGGUUUACCUUUACUCACAUUCUGCAACUCCCCCUUCAGCCAUAGCUUCUUUUAGCAUUAACUACAGGCUUUUAUUAAAGAAACUGGGACUUAAA